GUGGCCGCCGCGGUAAUACGGAGGGUGCAAGCGUUGUCCGGAAUCACUGGGCGUAAAGGGUGCGCAGGCGGGGCAACAAGUCGGAGGUGAAAGCCCGUGGCUCAACCACGGAAGUGCCUUCGAAACUGUUGCUCUUGAGUCCCGGAGAGGUUGCCGGAAUUCGUGGUGUAGCGGUGAAAUGCGUAGAUAUCACGAGGAACACCAGAGGCGAAAGCGGGCAACUGGACGGGUACUGACGCUCAGGCACGAAAGCGCGGGGAGCAAACAGGAUUAGAUACCUCAGUAGUCC
rnacentral:rRNA from 1 species